GACGAACGCUGGCGGCGUGCUUAACACAUGCAAGUCGAACGGAAAGGCCCUGCUUUUGUGGGGUGCUCGCGUGGCGAACGGGUGAGUAACACGUGAGUAACCUGCCCUUUACUUUGUGAUAACUUCAGGCAACUGGUGCUACUACCUGAUACGAGCUCCUGCUGCAUGGUGGGGGUUGGACAGUUUCGGCGGUUGUGGAUCGACUCCCGGCUUAUCAGCUUGUUGGUGGGGUAGUGGCUUACCAAGGCUUUGACGGGUAGCCGGCCUGAGAGGUUGAACAGGCACAUGGGGACUGAGAGACGGACCAGACGCCUACGGGAGGCAGCAGGGGGGAAUAUGGUACAAUGGGGGGAAGCCUGAGACAGAAACGCCGCGAGCGGGAUGAAGGCCUUCGGGUGGUAAACCGCUUUAGCCUGUGACGAAGCGUGAGUGACGGUAAUGGGUAAAGAAGCACCGGCUAACUACGUG
rnacentral:rRNA from 1 species